rnacentral:rRNA from 1 species
UAAUGCCGGAUGCUCCGACUCCUCGCAUGGGGUGUCGGGAAAGAUUUCAUCGGUAUGGGAUGGGGUCGCGUCCUAUCAGGUAGUCGGCGGGGUAACGGCCCACCGAGCCUACGACGGGUAGCCGGCCUGAGAGGGCGACCGGCCACAUUGGGACUGAGAUACGGCCCAGACUCCUACGGGAGGCAGCAGUGGGGAAUAUUGCACAAUGGGCGCAAGCCUGAUGCAGCGACGCCGCGUGCGGGAUGACGGCCUUCGGGUUGUAAACCGCUUUUGAUCGGGAGCAAGCCUUCGGGUGAGUGUACCUUUCGAAUAAGCACCGGCUAACUACGUGCCAGCAGCCGCGGUAAUACGUAGGGUGCAAGCGUUAUCCGGAAUUAUUGGGCGUAAAGGGCUCGUAGGCGGUUCGUCGCGUCCGGUGUGAAAGUCCAUCGCUUAACGGUGGAUCUGCGCCGGGUACGGGCGGGCUGGAGUGCGGUAGGGGAGACUGGAAUUCCCGGUGUAACGGUGGAAUGUGUAGAUAUCGGAAA